rnacentral:rRNA from 1 species
GAUGAACGCUGGCGGCACGCCUAACACAUGCAAGUCGAGCGGUAACAUGCUUAGUAGCAAUACUAAGUGAUGACGAGCGGCGGACGGGUGAGGAACACGUAGGAAACUGCCCAGAAGUGGGGGAUAACUAAGGGAAACUUUAGCUAAUACCGCAUAAUUCUCUGAGGAGAAAAGUUGCCCGUAAGGGUAGCGCUUUUGGAGGGGCCUGCGUCCGAUUAGUUAGUUGGUGAGGUAAUGGCUCACCAAGACUGUGAUCGGUAACUGGUCUGAGAGGACGACCAGUCACACUGGGACUGAGACACGGCCCAGACUCCUACGGGAGGCAGCAGUGGGGAAUCUUGGACAAUGGGGGCAACCCUGAUCCAGCGAUGCCGCGUGGGUGAAGAAGGCCUUCGGGUUGUAAAGCCCUUUAGGCUGGGAAGAAGAGUGUGGGAUGAAUAAUCCUGUACUUUGACGGUACCAGCAGAAUAAGCACCGGCAAACUCUGUGCCAGCCGCCGCUGUAA